UACGUAGGGUGCAAGCGUUGUCCGGAAUUAUUGGGCGUAAAGAGCUCGUAGGCGGUCUGUCGCGUCUGCUGUGAAAACUCAGGGCUUAACCCUGAGCUUGCAGCCGAUACGGGCAGACUAGAGUUCGGCAGGGGAGACUGGAAUUCCUGGUGUAGCGGUGAAAUGCGCAGAUAUCAGGAGGAACACCGGUGGCGAAGGCGGUUCUCUGGGCCUGUACUGACGCUGAGGAACGAAAGCGUGGGGAGCGAACAGG
rnacentral:rRNA from 1 species